CCGGGAGGAAAACUGUUACCCAGCAAGUUGACAGCAGAUCCCAGAUAACGAAAAACCUUUUGCAGUUGCAUGAAGACCCUGGAGGCGUCCAGGCAGGCAAGGGUGACACCCUUGAGGAUGCUGGCCCAGGGCCUCAGGCCCAGCUUAUUACAGGCGGAAUGCCUCCUCCACAGAUGACUUCUGUGGACAAGAGUAAUGACAGUGGGCUUCCCUGGUGGCACAGUGCUUGAGAGUCUACCUGCCAAUGCAGGGGACGCGGGUUCGAGCCCUGGUCUGGGAGGAUCCCACAUGCCGCGGAGCAACUGGGCCCCUGAGCCACAGCUACUGAGCCUGCGCAUCUGGAGCCUGUGCUCUGCAACAAGAGAGGCCGCGAUAGUGAGAGGCCCGCGCACCGCGAUGAA